rnacentral:sRNA from 1 species
CUGCUGCUGCAAUGGAAACCAAAGCAGCAGCAGCAGCAGCAGCAGCUCUUGCUGCUGCUGCAAUGGAUACCAAAGCAGCAGCAGCAGCAGCAAAGGCAGCAGCUCCAGAGGAAGCGAAAAAUGCCUAGCCAUUUUGCUGCUGCUGCUGCUGCCCCUGCUGCUGCUGCUGCGGUACCUGCAGCAGCAGCAGCUGUUGCUGCUGUUGCUGCCCCCGCUGCUGCCGCUGCGGUACCUGCAGCAGCAGCAGCUGCUGCAGCUGCUGCUGCUGCUGCUGCUGCUGCUGCUGCACCUCGCGUUAUAUAGAU